rnacentral:lncRNA from 1 species
AAACCUACAGCUAAAUGAGUUGUCAGGUAGAAAAAAGUUUGAAUUUUGAAGUGCCAUUUUUUGGAUUAUUAUUGGUUUGAGGAAGUUUAAAUAUACUCAUUUCACUGACCAUGCAAUCCCAGGACUUAUCAUUGAAAUUUUCAGGGAGUUUUGUUUCCUUUCUCUCAGCAUGGUAUGGCCUGGAUCUCAGAAUUUAUUCAUCAAGAAUUAAGAAUGUGAAUCUU